UCCAUCACUCCGGCCACCUCCAUCAGCGGGAUGAGCUCCGACGUCACGCAAUAGCUCAGCCUCCGCGUGAGCUCCGUCAGCAGAGCUCUGAACGGCCAGAACUCCUCCAGUUCCUGAACGCAUCAUUUAUCAGCAGGUCAUGUAUGAGAGGUUAGUGAAACAGACCUCGGUGAAGUGCAGCACGCAGCAGCAGAAGGCGGAGGACGAGCUGAGCAGACUCUGGAUGAAGCCGCGGCUCAGCUGGAACCUGUCGGACACGUUCCACAGGUUCGUCUCCUUCAGCAGAGAGAACAGCACCAGAGCCAAAUACAUCCGGCUCACCACCUCCAUGUUCACACUCUGGAACAACAACACACCUUGGAGAGCUGUUACUUCCCUGAGCAGAUAUUGAGGCGAGCAGUCUGGACUUUCUUACCUUUCUCACCGUCUGUCCUGCAGCUUUUCUAGCAACGAAACUCUCCGACACUCCGAUGGCUGCAGACAUCUUCUGCUCUGCAGCGGACAGCAGCGUGAACUGAGGAACACAAAACAACCUUUUUUAUACAGAGCUGAGAAAUAAAGAGACGUUACAACGUUGA